UGUACUAGUGAUAGCAGUGUGAUGAACCCAGGAUUAUGAUUAAUCUAAUUCUGUGUCCCUGAGAUUUAAAAAUACAUA
rnacentral:snoRNA from 1 species